GACGAACGCUGGCGGCGUGCCUAAUACAUGCAAGUAGAACGCUGAAGAGAGGAGCUUGCUCUUCUUGGAUGAGUGGCGAACGGGUGAGUAACGCGUAGGUAACCUGCCUUGUAGCGGGGGGUAACUAUGGGAAACGAUAGCUAAUACCGCAUAACAAUGGAUGACACAUGUCAUUUAUUUGAAAGGGGCAAUUGCUCCACUACAAGAUGGACCUGCGUUGUAUUAGCUAGUAGGUGAGGUAAUGGCUCACCUAGGCGACGAUACAUAGCCGACCUGAGAGGGUGUUCGGCCACACUGGGACUGAGACACGGCCCAGACUCCUACGGGAGGCAGCAGUAGGGAAUCUUCGGCAAUGGGGGCAAACCUGACCGCGCGACGCCGCGUGAGUGAAGAAGGUUUUCGGAUCGUAAAGCUCUGUUGUAAGUCAAGAGCGGGUGUGAGAGUGGAAAGUUCACACUGUGACGGUAGCUUACCAGAUAGGGACGGCUAACUACGUG
rnacentral:rRNA from 1 species